rnacentral:rRNA from 2 species
GGGUUGUGAGGUUAAGCGACUAAGCGUACACGGUGGAUGCCUAGGCAGUCAGAGGCGAUGAAGGGCGUGCUAAUCUGCGAUAAGCGUCGGUAAGCUGAUAUGAAGCGUUAUACCCGACGAUACCCGAAUGGGGAAACCCAGUGUGUUUCGACACACUAUCAUUACGUGAAUACAUAGCGUAAUGAGGCGAACCGGGGGAACUGAAACAUCUCAGUACCCCGAGGAAAAGAAAUCAACCGAGAUUCCCCUAGUAGCGGCGAGCGAACGGGGAGGAGCCCAGAACCUGAAUCAGUUUGUGUGUUAGUGGAAGCGUCUGGAAAGUCGCACAGUAAAGGGUGAUAGUCCCGUACACAAAAAUGCACAAAUUGUGAGUUCGAUGAGUAGGGCGGGACACGUGACAUCCUGUCUGAAUAUGGGGGGACCAUCCUCCAAGGCUAAAUACUCCUGACUGACCGAUAGUGAACCAGUACCGUGAGGGAAAGGCGAAAAGAACCCCGGCGAGGGGAGUGAAAUAGAACCUGAAACCGUGUACGUACAAGCAGUGGGAGCCUUGAUUAAUCAGGGUGACUGCGUACCUUUUGUAUAAUGGGUCAGCGACUUAUAUUCUGUAGCAAGGUUAACCGUAUAGGGGAGCCGUAGGGAAACCGAGUCUUAACUGGGCGUUAAGUUGCAGGGUAUAGACCCGAAACCCGGUGAUCUAGCCAUGGGCAGGUUGAAGGUUGGGUAACACUAACUGGAGGACCGAACCGACUAAUGUUGAAAAAUUAGCGGAUGACUUGUGGCUGGGGGUGAAAGGCCAAUCAAACCGGGAGAUAGCUGGUUCUCCCCGAAAGCUAUUUAGGUAGCGCCUCGUGAAUUCAUCUUCGGGGGUAGAGCACUGUUUCGGCUAGGGGGUCAUCCCGACUUACCAACCCGAUGCAAACUACGAAUACCGAAGAAUGUUAUCACGGGAGACACACGGCGGGUGCUAACGUUCGUCGUGAAGAGGGAAACAACCCAGACCGCCAGCUAAGGUCCCAAAGUCAUGGUUAAGUGGGAAACGAUGUGGGAAGGCACAGACAGCCAGGAUGUUGGCUUAGAAGCAGCCAUCAUUUAAAGAAAGCGUAAUAGCUCACUGGUCGAGUCGGCCUGCGCGGAAGAUGUAACGGGGCUAAACCAUGCACCGAAGCUGCGGCAGCGACACUUAGGUGUUGUUGGGUAGGGGAGCGUUCUGUAAGCCGUCGAAGGUGACCUGUGAGGGUUGCUGGAGGUAUCAGAAGUGCGAAUGCUGACAUAAGUAACGAUAAUGCGGGUGAAAAACCCGCACGCCGGAAGACCAAGGGUUCCUGUCCAACGUUAAUCGGGGCAGGGUGAGUCGACCCCUAAGGCGAGGCUGAAAAGCGUAGUCGAUGGGAAACAGGUUAAUAUUCCUGUACUCGGUGUUACUGCGAAGGGGGGACGGAGAAAGCUAGGUUAUCCGGGCGACGGUUGUCCCGGUUUAAGCGUGAAGGUGGAUGACUUUGGUAAAUCCGGGUCGUCAUUAACACUGAGGCGUGAUGACGAGUCACUACGGUGAUGAAGUAACCAAUGCUACGCUUCCAGGAAAAGCCUCUAAGCUCCAGGUAACAUCAAAUCGUACCCCAAACCGACACAGGUGGUCAGGUAGAGAAUACUCAGGCGCUUGAGAGAACUCGGGUGAAGGAACUAGGCAAAAUGGUGCCGUAACUUCGGGAGAAGGCACGCUGAUGGUAGGUGAAGUGACUUGCUCACGGAGCUGAAAUCAGUCGAAGAUACCAGCUGGCUGCAACUGUUUAAUAAAAACACAGCACUGUGCAAACACGAAAGUGGACGUAUACGGUGUGACGCCUGCCCGGUGCCGGAAGGUUAAUUGAUGGGGUCAGCCGCAAGGCGAAGCUCUUGAUCGAAGCCCCGGUAAACGGCGGCCGUAACUAUAACGGUCCUAAGGUAGCGAAAUUCCUUGUCGGGUAAGUUCCGACCUGCACGAAUGGCGUAAUGAUGGCCAGGCUGUCUCCACCCGAGACUCAGUGAAAUUGAACUCGCUGUGAAGAUGCAGUGUACCCGCGGCAAGACGGAAAGACCCCGUGAACCUUUACUAUAGCUUGACACUGAACCUUGAGCCUUGAUGUGUAGGAUAGGUGGGAGGCUUUGAAGCGUGGACGCCAGUCUGCGUGGAGCCAACCUUGAAAUACCACCCUUUAAUGUUUGAUGUUCUAACGUGGGCCCGUGAUCCGGGUUGCGGACAGUGUCUGGUGGGUAGUUUGACUGGGGCGGUCUCCUCCCAAAGCGUAACGGAGGAGCACGAAGGUUAGCUAAUCCUGGUCGGACAUCAGGAGGUUAGUGCAAAGGCAUAAGCUAGCUUGACUGCGAGAGUGACAGCUCGAGCAGGUGCGAAAGCAGGUCUUAGUGAUCCGGUGGUUCUGAAUGGAAGGGCCAUCGCUCAACGGAUAAAAGGUACUCCGGGGAUAACAGGCUGAUACCGCCCAAGAGUUCAUAUCGACGGCGGUGUUUGGCACCUCGAUGUCGGCUCAUCACAUCCUGGGGCUGAAGUAGGUCCCAAGGGUAUGGCUGUUCGCCAUUUAAAGUGGUACGCGAGCUGGGUUUAGAACGUCGUGAGACAGUUCGGUCCCUAUCUGCCGUGGGCGUUGGAAGAUUGAGAGGGGUUGCUCCUAGUACGAGAGGACCGGAGUGAACGCACCACUGGUGUUCGGGUUGUGAUGCCAAUUGCAUUGCCCGGUAGCUAAGUGCGGAAGAGAUAACCGCUGAAAGCAUCUAAGCGGGAAACUUGCCUCGAGAUGAGUCUUCCCUGGGCACUAGAUGCCCCUGAAGGGCCGUUGAAGACUACGACGUAGAUAGGCUGGGUGUGUAAGCGUAGCGAUACGUUGAGCUAACCAGUACUAAUGACCCGAGAGGCUUAACCUUACAACACCGAAGGUGUUU